AUUGAACGCUGGCGGCAGGCCUAACACAUGCAAGUCGAGCGGCUCGGCGGACGGGUGAGGAAUGCCUAGGUAUCUGCCUGGUAGUGGGGGAUAACGUCCGGAACCGGGCGCUGAUACCACUUACUAUCAGAUGAGCCUAGGCCGGAUUAGCGAGUUGGAGGGGUAAAGGCCCACCAAGGCGACGAUCCGUAACUGGUCUGAGAGGAUGAUCAGUCACACUGGAACUGAGACACGGCCCAGACUCCUACGGGAGGCAGCAGUGGGGAAUAUUGCACAAUGGGCGAAAGCCUGAUGCAGCCAUGCCGCGUGUAUGAAGAAGGUCUUAGGAUUGUAAAGCACUUUAAGUUGGGAGGCGUUACCAACAGAAUAAGCACCGGCUAACUUCGUGCCAGCCGCCGCGGUAAUUC
rnacentral:rRNA from 1 species